UAUUGGACAAUGGGGGCAACCCUGAUCCAGCAAUGCCGCGUGAGUGAUGAAGGCCUUAGGGUUGUAAAGCUCUUUUACCCGAGAUGAUAAUGACAGUAUCGGGAGAAUAAGCUCCGGCUAACUCCGUGCCAGCAGCCGCGGUAAUACGGGGGGAGCUAGCGUUGUUCGGAAUUACUGGGCGUAAAGCGCACGUAGGCGGCGAUUUAAGUCAGAGGUGAAAGCCCGGGGCUCAACCCCGGAACCGCCUUUGAGACUGGAUUGCUAGAAUCUUGGAGAGGCGAGUGGAAUUCCGAGUGUAGAGGUGAAAUUCGUAGAUAUUCGGAAGAACACCAGUGGCGAAGGCGGCUCGCUGAGAGAGUAUUGACGCUGAGGUGCGAGG
rnacentral:rRNA from 1 species